rnacentral:tRNA from 1 species
AGCAACUUGGCGCAGUGGAAGCGCGGUAUGUUUACCACUCGGUUCUCAGGGUACAAUUCCUUACUAACUCACGCAAAGCCGGGCUCAUAACCCGGAGGUCACUCGAUCGAAACGAGUAGUUGCUA